GAUGAACGCUGGCGGCGUGCCUAAUACAUGCAAGUCGAGCGAACAGACGAGGAGCUUGCUCCUCUGACGUUAGCGGCGGACGGGUGAGUAACACGUGGAUAACCUACCUAUAAGACUGGGAUAACUUCGGGAAACCGGAGCUAAUACCGGAUAAUAUGUUGAACCGCAUGGUUCAAUAGUGAAAGACGGUCUUGCUGUCACUUAUAGAUGGAUCCGCGCCGCAUUAGCUAGUUGGUAAGGUAACGGCUUACCAAGGCAACGAUGCGUAGCCGACCUGAGAGGGUGAUCGGCCACACUGGAACUGAGACACGGUCCAGACUCCUACGGGAGGCAGCAGUAGGGAAUCUUCCGCAAUGGGCGAAAGCCUGACGGAGCAACGCCGCGUGAGUGAAGAAGGUCUUCGGAUCGUAAAACUCUGUUAUUAGGGAAGAACAAAUGUGUAAGUAACUAUGCACGUCUUGACGGUACCUAAUCAGAAAGCCACGGCUAACUACGUG
rnacentral:rRNA from 1 species